rnacentral:rRNA from 1 species
UACGUACUGUGCGAACGUUAUUCGGAAUCACUGGGCUUAAAGGGCGCGUAGGCGGCCUGUUAAGUCGAACGUGAAAUCCCCGGGCUCAACCCGGGAACUGCGUCCGAUACUGGCAGGCUUGAAUCCGGGAGAGGGAUGCGGAAUUCCAGGUGUAGCGGUGAAAUGCGUAGAUAUCUGGAGGAACACCGGUGGCGAAGGCGGCAUCCUGGACCGGCAUUGACGCUGAGGCGCGAAAGCCAGGGGAGCAAACGGG